CCUGCCACACAUGCAGAGGCAGAUGUCACAGUGGUGACAGCGUACAAGUGACAUGCUCAUCUUCAUCUUCUUUCUCAUCAUGAAAGUUUCAGGGGCUUUCCAUAUUUCUGGACCGAAAGAGGUCCGAAUCUCGGUGGGCGGCACCGUGCAGAUCGCCUGUCCCUACCACAGCUUUUAUCAGGACAACGUGAAAUACUGGUGCAGAGGAUAUUACUGGAAUUACUGCAGUGUUCUGCAGCGCUCCAGACCAACACCUCCCCAGGAUGGGGAUCUUCUGGUAUCGGACAAUAAACAGAUUCACAUGUUCACGGUGACCAUGAGGAGGGUACAGGAGCAGGACAGCGGUCGGUACUGGUGCGCCAUCCAGCGUGUCAGCAAACACGUCAAGGUCCCAAUCGAAUUGAUCAUCAUGCCGGAAAUGAAAACUGAGAGGGUGACGAUGACAUCACCGUCCCUCAUCACGACCCCUGAGCUCCUCUCCACCACGGUGACCUCCACACCUCCAAGCACCGUGACCCCCAUGUCACCAACCAGUGGUCAUGUCACAGUUGAUGGCAGCACAGAGUGGUAAAAAACAUAUUUUUUAUGACAUGUGGACCAUUCCCAGAUCCUGUGUGGUUUCACCACGGUACAGUAAUGUUACCUCCAUCAUAAGGGAGACUGGGGAAAAUUGUUGAGUUUUUGUGUUUAAUUUUUAUAAAAUGUAGAGAAAUUACAUGAAACACAUGAAAGAGCUUUUCCUUUCGAAGUAAAGGUGAAUUAGUUUACUAAACAUGAAGGCACAUUUCCUAGAUCAGAGCCCUGGGAUGCUACCAUGGGAGGGUGAAAUUUAUUAUACAAAGUUGGUUGAGGCUCCAUUUUGGCGGAGACUCCUGCCCUUCAGCCCAGGACUGAAGAUGUUCAGGAGUUGGUAUGGACAGUGUGGAGCAUUUCACACUGGGUGCUGUUUGCAGCUCUGGCUCUCACUCCAGUGGCUGUGAAAUUGUGUUUCGUGAGGAGAACAAACAUUAAUAACUAUGCAGGACACAAACUUCACGACCAAGGGACACUUGGAAUGCAAGUCAUGGACCCAACCUGGAUAGCUCUGCGAACAUUUCCAGAAGUUCAGCCGACCCAUAACUACCACAAGACUCUGCCAGUGCCAAAAUCAUAGCUGAGACACUUUAGAACAUAUGAAUGUCUGCUUUCCAAUUGUUUGACAUCACUGUUUAAUCGUAUAGAGUUUGUCCAGCAUAUUUAAAGGCUGAUAUUGAUGCAGUCAGAAUGCAAAUAUAGUGCAAACAAGAGGUUCAGAUACUGUGCAGCUAAGCAUUAGAUUAUUUGAGGUACUGAUCUAACCUUUUAUUUAACGUAGUGUGAUUGUUGUUGCCAGACGUGGUGGUUCCAGCAUCUCAGAAAUAGCCACCCUUCUGUGCAUUUGACACACUACAGUGUCUUGAGCAGUGGUUCUCAACCUUUUUGCACUGCAACCAAAUUUUUAUUUCAUGCCCCUAUAUCUAGUAUAGAUCUAAAUUAACUCUAUGAUCAAGCGCGCAGUGCACUCUGCAAUUUACAUCAAUCAAUGCCUAUUGCACAAAUCUGAUUGGAUGUGGUAGUAAAUUUAAAAUUAACCAUCUGUGGUUUGGCUUCUUGGAUUGGUUGAGUGUUCACCAGUUUUGUGCUAAGCAUUUGCACACCUAAUUACCAUUCAGACAUUAUUCGCUUUUUAUAUUGAAAUGUAUAUUAUGAUUUAUAACACAUACCGGUUCUGAAUGUAACAUGUGUUUUAAAAUAAAUAUGAGGAAAGCCAGAGGU